UAUGCCAAUUCCAUUUGCAUGUUUCUUUGGAAUGCUGAAAUGAAUACAGCAAAUGAAUAGUAAUGUCAAGACACUGCAAAAACAAAAAGCACUGAAAGAGAAUUCUCGUGGACUGAUGAACUGAGAGCUGAAAUGGGAGCAGCAGGUCAGAACCAGUUGGUGAUCAGAUACUGUAUGCUGGAUCUCCAUUUUUAAGCCAUCUUCAAGACUGAUGUGUUAGACAAGUAGAAGUCUAACUGCUGGGGGAGUUCCUGGAACUACACAACAACUUGCUGUCAGAGCGACUUGCACCAUCACAAGGCAUCACCUCUGCUUUCCAGACACUGAGUCUCCAGACAAUUAAUGCAUGUCUUCAGUUACUACGUUGUUUCUCUCACACUUCUCCUGGAUGAAUUUUACAGUGUGAGUGAUGCUAAUUUUUCAGCCUAACAACCAACCAUGCACUGAAGCCCUGCUACUUCUGAGCUGACAUCAUCCAGAUGAGAAAGCUUCUUUCUAGUAACUUAUCAGCCUGGAAAACCAGCCCUGCAGGGUAACACCCAACCCAUGCUUUAAAUGUCAAGGAGAAAAACAUCUUUGUAUUGCCGAGCAGUCACAGCAGCUUCACUUCUGAUUUGAUAGCCUUGGAUGGAAGCAGGUACCAGCAUGAUGAUUCAGAAACCCUUGAAGAUAUAGUCAUAUUUUCAGCAACAGAUGGAUUUAACACUGCAGAUGGAGUGUUAAGAGUGCAGGGGCUGCUGGAGACCUGCCAACAGGAACUACUGACUGCAGAUUUGGGAAGAACGCAGGCAGUUUGGAAAGCGCGGUUUGCAGAGUUGUCUGUGGACUCUGAGAACAUAUUUAAAACCAGAAUUCUCUCUGGAACAUUGACUCUCGCUUGAUGGUAUGAUAGACUUCUACUUUAGAUCUGGAUUCAGAAGUAGUGGAUCACGCUUUAAUGUUGGUCUGCCCUCAUCAUUUGGAAGAGAAAAAACAAACAUUCCUGUGCCUCAGCUCAUCAGUGUCUGCAGCUGACUCAAUCAGCUGUAGAACUGAAGGGAAGGAAACAUAAAUUGAUGUGAAGAAAAUGUUCUCCCUGAAGCUGCACAAGCAGCAAUGAUUGUCAAAAGCUGAUCUUUAUCCCUUCAAAGACCUGCAGAUGGGGUCACUGAUCACAUCGUCUCAUUCAUUGGUUGGACUUCUAUAUACAACGUUUGGAAUAAAGGAUUGCCUCAUGAGGUUCCCGCUGGCUGGUUGCAAUACCACUGAGAAUGGAAGGUCCAAAGCUGCAGCAGGAGGAAGGAACUUGGAAAAUGCAACUGGUGCGGAAGAGCGAGCAAGGUCACUGGUGACAAGGCUCUGCUCCAUCUGUGCAGGCAUGCUCUUGAACAGAAGCAUUCCAGCAACAUGGCAUUUUGUCACAUUAUUCCAUUCCUUAUAAAUUUCAAUAGCCAGUUAUUUGCCUGCCUUUAGUUGGGAAACAAAGCCCCUCUUUGUGCAGCAACACAACGUGGCUAUCUCAUGUAACGGAGAAAUGAAAAGCAAAUAACGCAGGAAUUGUGCUUGUCUGGGGAAGAGGAAAGCAUUGUCUUGUGACAAGAGGAGAAGAAAGUGGUGUUGCCCAGUGCUUCCGACUGUCAGUCCUAAAAGAUAGAAGAAACCACCAUUUGUGGAGUCUUCUGAUAACACUGACAUUGAAAUCUCCCAUGUCCCCAUUUCAUCAUUCCCAGAGUGGGGAUGAAAAUUAAUCUGCUCUUUUAUGCAAUUCAGCAAAGCAUUUUAAAUUGCUUUUUUCCUUUUUAAGUAUACUAGAUGUCCAACUGCCUACACAGAGCAACAUUCAUGCUGAGCUUCUUCUGCACCAUCCCAUCUCUUUGCUGUUUCUGAGGUCAAAUCCAUAGGAGAUGUUCUGCGGAGUGAGCAGAGAGUGAGGAAGAUGCACAACAAAGAAGAGGCUCUCCAUUUCAAAUUCUUCUAUCACCAAAUCUCAGCAGUCCUCAAGCUGAUUAUCACAGCAUUGAAAAUCAAGCUGUUCUUGGAGUAUGGUGUGGUCUUGGCUUCAUCAAAUGACCAGUUCUUGAUAACUGAGGCAAGGCAGCACUUUGUUCAGAACAGCUAGACUCACAUUAAUCUGGUUUCUUCUUCAGUAGGUAUGUUUUUGGUGGUUGGGGGAUUUAGGCAUGAGUUCCUUUGAAAUAUCGGAGUAUUUCUGAUGAAGAAGUCCCAAAGGCACUUAACCCCAAGAACCUCAAAGACAAAAUCUUUCUACAGCAUGCCCUUCACUCAGCUAGCUAUGAGAAGAUCAAUGCUGGGAUUGAUACACGGAGGCUGUCAAGACUCUAUGGGACCAGAUCCCAUGUCCACUCAGCUCUGCUACCUCCAGCAGCCAUUGAGACUGAGAAUCUGCGGUGGUUUAUCUCCACCCCAGCUCCUCUCCUGAGCAGCCAUGGAUGUGUGAUGUCUCCUCCAGGUCUCUGACACAGAAAGCUUUCAUUUUGGGAUUGGAUGUUCUACUCAAAGAAAUGUCUCAGUCAAAUACAGGUUAAUCAGAGAAAUGUUGUCCUUCACGUCUCUGCAGGGAUCUGAUUUCCAAGCUAACAGGUGACAGUGCUUCAAAGUCCUGCUAAGAAGUGCACCCACCUCGCUGCUGUUUGGAUCAGCCUCUGACAAUGAAUUUUUCCAUCCCUACAAGAACUGUCUUUGUUUUGCUUGAUGUUCAAGGACGGACGCUGCCAUACAUGCAUGAUGACACAGAAAGCCUAGAGGAUAGUCUUACUGCAUGGCUGACAGAUGGCAAGCGCACAGUCCAAGGGACGCUUUACAUCUACAUCAUGCCAGUCAACGAUGAAAUCCCUCAUCUUUCCAGAAAAUGUCUCCAGAUCUGACUCUAGCAGGGUCUGAAUCCCCAUUCUCAGAGCACAGGAAAACUGUUUGAUCACAAAAUACCUGGUGGACUCCAGUUGCGAAGUGUCUCCAUUCCUUGUUUUGGUUUGUUUCAACUUCUUGGAAGAUGAAGUCACUGAGCAAAGCCAUUUCCAGUGCCAGGUCAGAAAAAAACAUCCUCCUGCCUUCAGGUGACAUUGUUCUACUCGCCAAACCUGUAACUUUAACAGAGGGUGACAGGGUGACCUUGACGACAGAUGUUCCUGUGGCAACAGAUGGCACUAGCAAACCCGAGAAGCUGCUGUACGCCGUCUCCGUGCCACCUGUGCAUGGUCAGAUUGAGCACAUCAAUUAUCCCGGCGUGCCCAUUCCCAGACACAGCCGGUUGGAUGUGGUGGCCCAGAAGGUCCCCUCUAUCCAUGACAAUAGCUGUGAGGCCGGGAAGGAGCCACUCAGGGGAUGGUUAUGACUUGGCCUGAAUCUCUGAGAAGACCUGAAGGUUUUCUUUGAAGGCUGCUGACCCAAAGCAUUGCAGUACCAGAACGCAAUGCAAGAGAGAGAAAAUGCUCCAGCAAGUGCAAUGGAUAGGAAUAGCAGGAAGUUCCUCAGAGCCCUUGGUCUUGUGCCCUUCCCAGAAGAUCACUCUGGUAUAACCGCAUGAAAUAGACUGUCGUAAACUGGGGCCAACUUAAUAAGAUGAAAAUACUCUACUAGCACAAUGGAAAUGCUAGGAAAAAUUGGAACAUUUUAUUUGACUAGUAGAGUCAAUCGUGGUUUUCUUGUCUGCAAAGAGAGGAGCAAGUAGAACCUAUAAUGCAGCCCUAUAGAGUGGCACCCGAGGGAUGCAGUGGUGAAACAAAUCCUCGCAAGAGCAAGCCCCUCAUCGUGCAGGACCUAAGAGAGGCUCAGCCUGGGAUGCUAGCUUCCCUUCUCAUCAACAGUCAUCUGUUUUCACAGCAGAGGUGAGGAUCAUCCUCUGCCUCCCCUUCUCUGAGCAUGUGGAAAACUCCAAACCAGUUACUUGACUUGAGAUGCUUAGUGCAGUGACUCUGGUUGGAAAAUCUCUUCAGCGCUUUGAUUUUCCUGUUGUUGUUGCACACAGCCGGAGCAGUUUCACAAGGUGAUGAGAUGGCAUUGUGUUGUAUUCUGGGUCAUCAAUUGCAGGACAGGUCCUAGCUGAGAAACCAGACACUUGAUGGAGGAUGAAGUUCAUCCCACCAUGUGGCUGCAUGGCACAGGCUGGCGGGUGGCCCCAGAGGAUGCUUGGACAGGUAGCACACACCACACAGCCUGGCAGGAAUGCACUCCGCAAACCCACGUAAAUGCUGUCUGAAGGUGUAAAAGUAAAAGGGCAGAGGUUCUUUUGAUCCUGCUGAAUUCAGGCAGGAUACUUGCUCAAGGGACAGAUUCUUGGUUCCAAAAAAGCUGCUUCGACCUUUGAGCUGCCAAAUUCCUUCCCCCAUUACCUCCCAUCUUUCUCUCCAGUAUAGCACAGCCACUCUGAGUCAUUGUUUAUCUAAUUUAAUUAACAUUUGCCAGUGCCUGCAACCUAAAACACUGUCUUAAAACAUUUGCUUGAAAAGCCUCCUUGUCCCAGAGCUGUCAUUUUUUAGCAUGAUGGAUAAUGGAUAGAAAUAAUUAUCCUGAACAAGGUUAGACAGCUAAAAUGAUUUGAGUUUCAAGGAAUUAGUAAGCUUAGCUAAACAUCUUAUUUUUCAAGACAUAUUAAUAAUAAAAACACAGCGAUGACCAUAAUGUAAAAUCUGCCUUCUGCUAAAACUUGCACUGUUUCUUGCAGGUAGCGGUGCCCACAGUGCCUUCACUGAGGGUGGUUUACAUCAGCACAUCAUCUGAUGCAUCACAAAUCCCUCUGUUGAAAGGAUUUUGGUAACUCUGUGUUCCAGGCAAAAUGCUUCCAGGGCUGUGAGUGCUGGUGUCCAGCUCAGCCCCUCCGAGUGGGAGGGCAAUGCAUACAGGGCACUAGGGAGCAGGUUAAGAUCAUAUCCAUCAGCCACAGGUGUCUCCUAUUCCAGUAUAUCAGCAACCCAGGUGGGUUACAGAGAUAACUGCCUGUCUGAGGAUACAUUCUUACUGCAUGGGGUGGCUACAGCCCCUCAUGGGCUGUCUAAACCCACUUAGUCCAUGGCUACCAGUCCUAAAGCCCCAUCCCUUGCAACAGCCCUGGAAAAAGCCAGAAGAAAUUAGAAAGCAGAGGCUUUGUGCAAAUGGAGUGAGCUUCUUCAGGUUUGCAAAGGUUUAACCGAGGGCAGAAUUGGGCUUGCUGCCUCUGCAUUGUUUCCCCAGCCCAUAAUUUUGGGGUAAACUUAAGUUUUGGAUUAAUCACUGACCUUUAGCUUUGAAGAAAAACAGAACUUCUGCAUGAAAUUGCCAAAAACGAGAGUAACAAUUUGUAAUUGCUUCAUUUUGCUCCUGGAAACGCAGGUGCAGCCGGGCCUCCAAGGUGCUCUGCACAGCAAGGGAGUGGGCUGUUCUCCAGGGAGCACUGAUCCAAGGCAAUAAGGCAGACAAAGCGAGCACAGGGAAUACAGGCAGUUGGUGGAGGACUGACAAGUGGUGCACAGUGGGACACAGGAGGCACUCGCUCCCUGCCCCGUGCACUGCAUCAUUACACCUUGCAAAUAACAAACCUCCUCCGUACAGCAGGAUACCCAGACGUGGUGGUGUUCCAUGGAGCAGUGGGCCAUGUCCUGAUGCCCAUGGGCUGCAGUGAGUGGUGCUGGUGGAAGAGCAGAGCCAGCAGUCCUCUGCCCAUGAGCACAGUUGGGAGUACAGCAGUCUGAGGUCAUAAAUGCACAAAAAUGACUUGAAAUAAAAUGGUCUGCAAUUGAAUUGCACAAAACUUUGUCUUGUGCCCAUGAAAAUGUUGGGACAGGUGGCAAAGACAGGUCAGAGAUGGAUGGGUCUGAAACGUUACAUAGAUGGAAGAAAUCAGCAGUGCAGAGAGUCCCAAGAGAAAGAGAUGUCCCCCACAGAGGCAGCUGUUUCUCUACCAUGAAAGUGUUUCCAUAAAAGCUCGGGACAGCCACAUUAAGGAAGAUGGCCUGAAAGAAAACCAUGCAAAUUAUACUGAGCACACCUAAAAACACUGUCCUGGGGCAAAACAGUGAGCUCACUGCAGAAACGAGGGAGCUGCCGACAGCACGGACAAAACUGAAUUGCUUGAACUGGCUUGUGUGAUCUCCAGUGCCUGAAGCCUCUCCAAACUGGGCUGUACAUUGCUGCUGCUAUACCAGUAUCAAACUACAGUAAUAACAAGCAUCUUUAAGUGCCUUACUUGAUACCAGAUUCAUUACCCUGAGAGUCCUUCCAUAGAAAUAGCUGGGAUAUAUAAUCAGAUCUGUAUUGGUCUUCUUACAAACCGCAGCGUGAAGGACAGCUUGGCUCAGAGGAGGCUGCACUGCAUGCAAAGGAGGGAGAUUAUCCAGAAAGCUAAGUAGUUUCAGAAGCAAUUUCAUCUGUGAAGACAAGAGCAAGCACAAGCCCUCAAGGCCACCGCAGCCCCAUCACCUGUGCCCUGAAGGCACCGAGCUGCUGCACACACCUUCCUCACCACCUCUGUCCUCUCCUGUGUGCUUUGGGACCCACAACGAAAGUCUGAGUUUGGACUUGGGGCAUAAAAUACGGCACCAUAAAAUAUUAUUGUAGGGGAAGAGUGAAAAUUUACUCAUUUUUGAGCAGGAGGGCAAGGUGAUUUUCUCUCGGUCCAGUAAUUCCCUCAUUUUUAUUGCUGGUGUUACGGACCAGCUUCUCCGAGGUGCUUGGAUUUUGCUUAUAUUGCGUCCUCCUUCACAUCCGCUUUCAACAGUAAAACCCGUGUGGUUUUGAUCUCUUGCUUUCAUGCCUGCUGCCACACUCUGGAAAAUUUAAGAAGGGCGCAAGGAAUGGGUUAGUCACACUUGUUAAUAUUUAUCCCAUUGCAGAGUGAGUAGGGCUGACCUCAGAGCUUGGGCUUUGGAGAACAGUUAUGAGAACAAUUCCACCGCGCCGAAACGAAAUCUGCAUGCAAAGCUCGUUUGGUGCCUGGAAGGAGCUAGAAGGAAAUAAAGGUCUUAAACGAUA